AGCAAUCUCUUUUGAUGGGACUACGGCUUAAUAAUUGUCAUUAGUCCACGUGCCAUUACUUAUAUGCCGUUACUUACAUCGAGUUAGUUUCAGAGAGUGACAAAUGACGAUAACGAGGAGGAUGAAGAUGAUGAGCUUAUUGAUCUAAUCCCAGUAUUAUUAUUGAACAGUCGUCAUUAUUGUUUCUGGUUGAUCCUGAAACAAAUUCCAUCUCAGUCAAUAAGCUCUGGCUCGGUCGUAAGAUUGGUAGCAGUCGUCUAGAGAGAGGACCAGACCAGCUACCUAUUAUUUUCCUGAACUCAAUCUAGUAUGUUAGGAGGAGGGCUUCACGAGAAUCAAGGUCGGGGGACCCAAAUUAAGAGUGAUCCGGAAUCCUGCGAUUAUCAUUAUCCCACUUUACUAUUGAGAUUUACUCCAAGAACAUAAGCAGUUUAAGGACUUGCUUAGGUUCUCAUAUUCAGACGAAGAAGGAAGUCGAAAUUAAGCUCGCGAGUGGCAUUUUCCCAGUUGAAUUGGUCCCCUUUUUCUUUCGAGUUUUUGUGCUUUUUUAGUACUGUCGUGGUCAUUGCAUCGGUAUCUUAUUCAUUCAGAAUUUUGAUGCUUUACUUUCACGUUCUUUUAUGGGAUACGGACUUGUGCUUUUGUUCUGUGCAUUUCUUAGAGUUGUUUGAAUGACAAAGAUAUUGGUUGGCUUGCUUGCUUCCAGUAAGUCGGCAGUGGUAACUUUUAGCACGAUUGUAAUCCCAAGCAACGCAUCUUUGGUGAUCUUUUAUGAUGUAUCUCUUGUCGGUGGCGAGCAAUGAGAGGGAGUACUGUGCAUGUCUAUCGUGAAGACUAAUCACGUCCAUCCAAUUCUUCCCCAAUGACAACUUCAAAUAACUCACCUCGCUGCAUUACCUCAUUGUACUGCAGUUGGCCCAUUAUGUUGCAUCUCUGCUGCGGAAUGCCGUAGUCGAGAAACAAAGAAACUCUGGCCAAGAAAACUUCCUUCCGGUUGCUCAUAAGUGCAAUGUCCGACUACUGCUGUUUCUAGGAAAUAUGGCAUUGACGCUUGUCCCCUGGAUUGUCACAAAAAA